UCCCCUCUCUUCCCUUCGAUAUCGGUGUUGUCCUUGAAUUUUUCCUUCCGGUCGCAUAGAUAUAAUAAAUUUUGACAGUAGGAAAUGGGCUUGUGACAGCGCGUAUUGUGGCUAUUGUUCAGCGUCCACCAAAAGGAAAUUAUGUUAUUAGUCGCAUGUUUCAGCAACCUCGCACGUAUCUCUCAAUCCAUUGAAGACAAUUGGCGAUCGCAACAUACGAUAAUUAAUUAUUACAUAAUCAUCGAAGGAGGUGUAAAAGAAUCUUUCCCGAGAGUUAUUCACGCCACGUCUCAUUUACACAUCAACGUUAUAUUUUUGUCCGUAUAUUAUGUAAGUAACAUCAUGUUUACAUUGUAUCUAAUCUUCUCCUCGACGCGAUCGAGAUACUUUAAUGAUCGUCCUCGCUAUAUUUAAUCAACUUACUUCGUACAUUACAAGGUCGAAUAUAAUUAGAGAUAAAAGUAUUGUGACAGACAACGUGGCGCUACUUUGCCGCAUGCCAGAAAGCAUAAUUGCAAAUAGCACGACUUUAUACAUAUUUGUGAUACAUUGCCUCACGUACAUUUCACUUCAUUGUGUCAUGAUAUAAUCUAUUAAUCUUUAUAAAUAAACAUUCUGAAAAGAAUAUCUUGAGAUUUUCAAGCGAUUCAUGCGUUAAUAAAUGAAAUCCGAUAAACCUCUCUCUCUCUUUCUCUCUCUCUCUCUUCAACUGACGGAUGAUCCAAAGUCUCGGAUACUUUAUCCGCUGUCAAUGAGAUUGAUCCGAAGCGUCGAUCGAUUUGAAAAGGGAAUUAAUGUAUCUGUCGUCGCGUCGUGCAUAAACAAAUUUUUUAUCAAACCGGCGCUAAGAGACGCAAUUCCAAAAAUAUCUUAGCGUCGACAAAUGUGCGGCAAAGCGAGACGUCGAUUCGUGAUUGGUCAAUCGAACAUAUUGUCGAGAUGAAAAAAGAAGAGGAGGAGGAGGAGGAGGAGGAAGAGGAGGGGGAGGAGGAGGAGGUGAAAGAAGAAGCAGAAGAUCGAUCGUCCGGAGGAAGAGCCGCUGCCAAAAGCAGCGAUGUGGCAAUCGCCGCGUUCUUUUAUGCUCUGCCAGCUCAGCCACCUCUCUUCUCGCCGCUACCGUUUUAAUUUAAGACCACCCCUUCAAAUGUCACGAAUACGCAUUCCGUUCCGCGCUGGCUCGCCGCGAGAUUGAAAACACUGGGAUUUCGUGCGGAUGCGUUCCACGCGCGACAGUUAUUUCGUUCCCCGUCAAAGCGCUAACAAAAGCCAGAUUUCGCUAAUUCGUUUUUGAUGAUAGCAGUCUCACCGUCAACACGUGUUCUGUCAAAUCCUCUCCUCUCUCCCUUCCCCUCUUCCACGUCCCGUAGCAGCGGUUCUACCCUUAGCCAUCAGUGGCAAUUUAUAGCAUUCGAUCUGUCAUUUG